rnacentral:tmRNA from 1 species
GGGGUCGACUGGUUUUGACAGCGAGACUCAUUAAAUGGUAAGCACGUCGUGUAAUGACAUUGAAACACGUAAAAGGCUAGGUCAACUUUUUAAACGGCGAGAAUAACUACGCUUUAGCUGCAUAAUCUGAAUCACAGUAAGAUUAAGCCUCGUCCUACUAGGUAGGAAUGCUAAAUGUCUCCAGAAAGCCUUGGUUAAUGGCGUUCUUAAUAGAGGCAUCGUAAAUAUUGACUUAGAUGAGGUAGUGCUUUGAUACCUUUUCGAGAUUAAGAAGCUAAGUGGUACGUGGGCUGUCUUUUGCCAGUUUACCAUCGAAAAUCUAAUGAAAGAAUAAACGUGUAGAAAGCUCUUUAAUAGCUUGUUUGGACGAGAGUUCGAUUCUCUCCGACUCCACAA